UACGUAGGUGACAAGCGUUGUCCGGAUUUACUGGGCGUAAAGAGCGCGCAGGCGGUCGAUCAAGUCGAGUGUGAAAGCCCCCGGCUCAACUGGGGAGGGUCAUUCGAUACUGAUCGACUCGAAGGCAGGAGAGGGUAGUGGAAUUCCCGGUGUAGUGGUGGAAAUGCGUAGAUAUCGGGAGGAACACCAGUGGCGAAGGCGACUACCUGGCCUGUUCUUGACGCUGAGGCGCGAAAGCUAGGGGAGCAAACGGGG
rnacentral:rRNA from 1 species